GAGGUGGCCAUUUUACGAAGCCCAACAUUUUCCUUCUCGGAUGAAGAGAAAUACAACUUGCUUACAUUUGAUUUUUGGCUUCGAUCAACAUGGUCCAAAUUCACUAACUUAGAGUUGUUUGUGAAUGAAAAUGGAAACGAGAAGCAACUGUUAAGUCUGUCGGACUACUCGUUCAUCACCAAUCGAAAUUGGAUUACAAUUUCAGUUGCACCUCUUCACGACGUGUCACCGGGGUCUGUAAUUUCGUUUGUUUUCUACGCCUAUUGUGGUACGAAUGUCGAAGACGCAGUGGCCAUCGAUAAUAUACGGUGGACAUUAUUCAACGAAAGAACUUCGGUGACGUCAGCAGAUCCAAUUACCUCUACGUCUGACACGCAAUCCGACAACCCAUUCGACGACCUCGACCUCGACCUCGACCUCGACCUCGACCUCUGGUGAUGCAAUGUCUCCUGCCGACUCGACAACGACUAAAAAUG